GACGAACGCUGGCGGCGUGCCUAAUACAUGCAAGUAGAACGCUGAAGGAGGAGCUUGCUUCUCCGGAUGAGUUGCGAACGGGUGAGUAACGCGUAGGUAACCUGCCUGGUAGCGGGGGAUAACUAUUGGAAACGAUAGCUAAUACCGCAUAACAGUAGAUAUCGCAUGAUAGCUGCUUGAAAGGUGCAAUUGCACCACUACCAGAUGGACCUGCGUUGUAUUAGCUAGUUGGUGAGGUAACGGCUCACCAAGGCGACGAUACAUAGCCGACCUGAGAGGGUGAUCGGCCACACUGGGACUGAGACACGGCCCAGACUCCUACGGGAGGCAGCAGUAGGGAAUCUUCGGCAAUGGACGGAAGUCUGACCGAGCAACGCCGCGUGAGUGAAGAAGGUUUUCGGAUCGUAAAGCUCUGUUGUAAGAGAAGAACGAGUGUGAGAGUGGAAAGUUCACACUGUGACG
rnacentral:rRNA from 1 species